CACCGGAGUGGCCGGCUGGAACAGCGCCAGCGCCGCCCGCAACGGCGCCGCGCUGAUCUGCCUCGCCAAUGCGGUGAUGCUCGGCAUCGUCGUCUGGUUC
rnacentral:tRNA from 1 species